AAGAUGGCGACCGGCGCACGGGUGAGUAACACGUAUCCAACCUGCCGAUAACUCGGGGAUAGCCUUUCGAAAGAAAGAUUAAUAUCCGAUAGUAUAUUAAAACCGCAUGGUUUUACUAUUAAAGAAUUUCGGUUAUCGAUGGGGAUGCGUUCCAUUAGUUUGUUGGCGGGGUAACGGCCCACCAAGACUACGAUGGAUAGGGGUUCUGAGAGGAAGGUCCCCCACAUUGGAACUGAGACACGGUCCAA
rnacentral:rRNA from 1 species